rnacentral:lncRNA from 1 species
AUCAGAUGCCUGUGUUACGCCGACCGUGAAAGCCUGGGAAAAUGAACAGCAAGACUAUUCAAGUGAUUGACUCAAUAAUGGAUGAAGAUGAUGAGCGCUCGGCAAAGGCCAUCUGUAAUCUGCUGGCAUCACAGCACAACAUCUACAUCACUCUAAUUACAGUCAGAAGACAGUUGAAGAAACUUGCGUGGACUUAUGGAAAGGCUUGUUUCAACCCAGUGAUUCGUCUGACAAACAAAGAACGCGCCCUGCAGGCCCAGGCAUGGAUCAAAGCUGGCGAGACAUUCAAUGACACCAUCUUCACAGAUGAAUCAACCGUGACCCUUGAGCAAUUUGCUCAAAAUUGCUACAGGAAUAAAAGGAAGAAGC